UUACUCCAAAACUCUUCUCCUAUUUCACUCUUUUCCUUAUUUUUCGCAUCCCGCCAAAUCGAAAUUCCAUUCCCGCAAAAUCUUUCUCACGCAGUUGGUUGCUUUCCGCAGCCCUAGCCUAAUCUCCCUUUUGUUGUCCUUGAUCCGAAAUCCCACCCUCGUUAACCCCCUUUUCUCUAACCUCUACCCUCAACCUCCAGCAACCUCUAGCCUUGACGUCCCCAACUCCAGUCUCAUCGCCUCCUCCUUACCGGUACAUCGUGUCCUCUUAUCUCUAUCUUGUUGGUUCGUUGCGUCCUUACCCUGAUCAACAAGUCUUAGUUUCAGAUGGAGAUGCUUCAGCGGUGGUUACAGCACUUACUGAACUGGGCAAUGGAAAACCAAGGUUCUAUUCAACUCCUGAAAUAAUUGCUUUCUGCAGAAAAUGGCGCCUACCCACAAAUCAUGUGUGGCUGUUUUCAACAAGGUGAACAUUCAAGAUCUUUUUUCUUUUACAUUAAGCAAAUAAAUAGAGGAUGUGUAUUGCUUAGCAUAUCAUAAACGACUUAAAUAUUAUAUUUCUUUCGAAUCCAGCUUCAGACUUUGGAGUGGCACUUUAAUUCUGGAUCAUUUCUACUUAAA